GGACGACGACGGGGAGAUGGACGGCCUCGGGGGCAAGCAUUGCUGCCGCUGGAUCGACUGCAGCGCCCUGUACGACCAACAGGAGGAGCUCGUGCGGCACAUCGAGAAGGUCCACAUCGACCAGCGCAAAGGGGAGGACUUCACUUGCUUCUGGGCCGGUUGCCCUCGAAGAUACAAGCCCUUCAACGCCCGCUAUAAGCUGCUGAUCCACAUGAGAGUCCACUCCGGGGAGAAGCCCAACAAGUGUACGUUUGAAGGUUGCGAGAAGGCCUUUUCAAGGCUUGAAAAUCUCAAGAUCCACUUGCGGAGCCACACAGGCGAGAAGCCGUAUUUGUGCCAGCAUCCGGGUUGUCAGAAGGCCUUCAGUAACUCCAGUGACCGCGCCAAACACCAGCGGACGCAUCUGGACACGAAACCUUAUGCUUGUCAAAUUCCAGGAUGUACCAAACGCUACACAGACCCAAGUUCCCUAAGAAAGCAUGUGAAGGCACAUUCUUCCAAAGAGCAACAAGCAAGGAAAAAGUUGCGGUCCAGCACAGAGCUCCAUCCAGACCUGCUCACAGAUUGCCUCACCGUGCAGCCCCUGCAGCCGGCCACUUCCCCUAGAGAUGCUGCUGCUGAAGGGACCGUGGGACGCUCCCCUGGACCCGGGCCUGACCUCUAUUCAGCUCCCAUUUUCUCCAGCAAUUAUUCAAGCCGAAGUGGAACAGCUGCUGGGGCCGUACCACCCCCACAUCCUGUCAGUCACCCUUCUCCAGGACAUAAUGUACAGGGGAGCCCCCACAACCCCUCCUCCCAGUUACCUCCACUCACAGCUGUGGACGCAGGAGCUGAGAGGUUUGCACCUUCUGCUCCAUCUCCUCACCACAUCAGCCCCCGGAGAGUUCCAGCUCCUUCUUCAAUACUGCAAAGAACACAGCCUCCCUAUACCCAGCAGCCAUCAGGUUCACACCUGAAGUCCUAUCAGCCAGAAACAAACUCUUCUUUUCAACCAAAUGGUAUCCAUGUCCAUGGUAAGCAAGAAGCUGGCAGUCCCUUGAGUUUUGAAAAGUGACAUUGUGCUGUUGCUUUUCAUCUUAGUUACCUGUCGUGGAUUUCAGAUGCUCUGUUCUACACCAGGCUUAGGCUUUCAUGACUUGCCUCUAAAAUUUCACACUUGAUAGGCAUGAAAUCCUAUGGUAUUUUCCUGACUUUGGCCUGAUGAUGGUAUGAUUUAUGACACCUCGCACUGGUCAGCUCAAGUUGCUGGUUUUUUCAUUGGCCAGGGCUCUAACACCAGCAAUAGCAUCCUGUUUCUAAACAACAGACAGCCCAUGGAGAAAGAAAUGACAGGAGUUCUUGUGCCCAAGCAUGCCUCUGCUCUGCUAGGUUUUUGCUCUCAUUCUCAUAGGUCCACAUGCUCUCCAUCCUUCAAGGCGCAGGUGGAAUGACGCCUCCUCUCUGAAGCCUUUCCUGAUCCCCCAGCCGAUGUCAUCUCUCCAGGCUCUAAACUCUGAUUUUAUAUCACCUGUCUUUCUCUGGUAGUAUUUAUGCUUCCUCUACCUUGUGUUUUACUUAUCUAUCUGUGAAUAAAACAUACUUUCACUAUU
rnacentral:sRNA from 1 species